rnacentral:rRNA from 1 species
AACAAACGCUGGCGGCGUGCCUAAUACAUGCAAGUCGAACGGGGAAAGUUCUUCGGAAUGAGUACUAGUGGCGUACGGGUGAGCAACACGUGGAUAAUCUUCCUUCAGGUGGGGAAUAACGAGUCGAAAGAUUCGCUAAUACCGCAUAAGACCACAGUAACUUUGGUUACAGGGGUUAAAGACUUCGGUCGCCUUUAGAUGAGUCUGCGUCCGAUUAGCUAGUUGGUGAGGUAAUGGCUCACCAAGGCGACGAUCGGUAACUGGUCUGAGAGGACGGCCAGUCACACUGGGACUGAGACACGGCCCAGACUCCUACGGGAGGCAGCAGUAGGGAAUUUUGCACAAUGGAGGAAACUCUGAUGCAGCGACGCCGCGUGAGUGAUGAAGGCCUUCGGGUCGUAAAGCUCUGUUCUCAGGGAAGUAAAAAAUAGAAGGUACCUGAGGAGAAGGACCGGCUAACUUCGUGCCAGCAGCCGCGGU